rnacentral:rRNA from 1 species
UUGAGACGAGUGGCGAACUGGUGAGUAACACGUGGGUAACCUGCCCUUGAAGUAGGGGAUAACACUUGGAAACAGGUGCUAAUACCGUAUAACAACCAAAACCACCUGGUUUUGGUUUAAAAGAUGGCUUCGGCUAUCACUUUAGGAUGGACCCGCGGCGUAUUAGCUUGUUGGUAAGGUAACGGCCUACCAAGGCAAUGAUACGUAGCCGACCUGAGAGGGUAAUCGGCCACAUUGGGACUGAGACACGGCCCAAACUCCUACGGGAGGCAGCAGUAGGGAAUCUUCCACAAUGGACGAAAGUCUGAUGGAGCAACGCCGCGUGAGUGAUGAAGGGUUUCGGCUCGUAAAACUCUGUUGUUGGAGAAGAACAGGUGUGAGAGUAACUGUUCACAUCUUGACGGUAUCCAACCAGAAAGCCACGGCUAACUACGUGCCAGCAGCCGCGGUAAUACGUAGGUGGCAAGCGUUGUCCGGAUUUAUUGGGCGUAAAGCGAGCGCAGGCGGUUUCUUAGGUCUGAUGUGAAAGCCUUCGGCUUAACCGGAGAAGUGCAUCGGAAACCAGGAGACUUGAGUGCAGAAGAGGACAGUGGAACUCCAUGUGUAGCGGUGAAAUGCGUAGAUAUAUGGAAGAACACCAGUGGCGAAGGCGGCUGUCUGGUCUGUAACUGACGCUGAGGCUCGAAAGCAUGGGUAGCGAACAGGAUUAGAUACCCUGGUAGUCCAUGCCGUAAACGAUGAGUGCUAAGUGUUGGAGGGUUUCCGCCCUUCAGUGCUGCAGCUAACGCAUUAAGCACUCCGCCUGGGGAGUACGACCGCAAGGUUGAAACUCAAAGGAAUUGACGGGGGCCCGCACAAGCGGUGGAGCAUGUGGUUUAAUUCGAUGCUACGCGAAGAACCUUACCAGGUCUUGACAUCUUCUGCCAACCUAAGAGAUUAGGCGUUCCCUUCGGGGACAGAAUGACAGGUGGUGCAUGGUUGUCGUCAGCUCGUGUCGUGAGAUGUUGGGUUAAGUCCCGCAACGAGCGCAACCCUUAUUGUUAGUUGCCAGCAUUCAGUUGGGCACUCUAGCAAGACUGCCGGUGACAAACCGGAGGAAGGUGGGGAUGACGUCAAAUCAUCAUGCCCCUUAUGACCUGGGCUACACACGUGCUACAAUGGACGGUACAACGAGUCGCGAAACCGCGAGGUCAAGCUAAUCUCUUAAAGCCGUUCUCAGUUCGGAUUGUAGGCUGCAACUCGCCUACAUGAA